rnacentral:lncRNA from 1 species
ACCUUUCAUAAGGAUGAAAUAAUUUCAGAAGUCCAAAAAUUGAUAGCUAAGGGAGCUAUUUAAGAGGUUGAUCGAUCAUUGGAAAAUCAGUUUAUUUCCUAUAUUUUCUUAGUUCCUGAGAAAGAUGGGUCUUCAAGGCCUGUUACCUAUUUGAAAAAUUCAAACAAACUUAGCUUGUGGCUAAUCAGCAUUUGGAGCAGGAC